UCGAGCCUCUCGUCUCUCUUCCCGCUCCCGCCAAAGGCGGAAGGUGAUAGGAUACCGGUAAAGCACAUCUUGGCAACGGUCCAAUCAGCAACAUGGAUCAAUGUUUACGGGGAGAAAAGGAGGAGCGAAGAAAGCUUGUGUUGUUGGGUCGACGGGUGGCCGGCCUCGUGCAUCCGACUAAGCCUGCUGACCACUGCUUCCUGCUUCAUCAUGACAUCGACCGACAACGGCUGUCGUGUUGGGGUUUGGUCUCGGGGUCGGCAUCAUCCCGAAGGGUCGGGUGGGAUUGGUUGGAUCAUUAGAGAUGAUAUUCCCGGAUCGACGUCUUGCCGAUGCGCUUCCGGGACAGUCAUAGAAAAGCGGCUUUGUGCACGCUUUUAUGCACGCCAUGAGCACAACUACCAUCCAGCCUCACAACGCCCGAUCUAUUUCCCUGCCGCUCUCUUUUGACGCGUCUCCUUUCCGGAAAUGCAACCUGAGCGACCUCGCGCUAGGGGAAAAGAGUGACGCUAUGGAGGUCUGGACUGCUCACUCUUACCCGCGUGCUACCCCAGAGACCGAGAGCAAGCGUUGCUUUCGUGCUAUGCGACCGAGUGACGGACGGAAUGGACUCUUUCGGCCCCAAAGAAUCACAGUUCCUACAGGGUUCCAUUAUACUCCUCACGUAGGUACCUUACGAGUUAGCGGCAGAUAUGGAUAUGUUUACCCAUACAUACCUACCUUACCUAGGUACAUAUGCAUCU